UGGGUCAAAUCAUGGUUACAUGUGGCGGGUUCUUGUUCCCUUUGUGUCUUUGGUUCCGCCUUGGCAGAGAUGAGAGAAAGAGGCCAUGCAUGCUCCAAAUCUUUAGAGGACAAGAUUCGGCGUGCUCUUUAUGGGCUGUGCGGCUCUUUCUCUUUCGUUUUUAAAAUAUUUGGGUUUCCGGGAGCUUCCAUCUAAAGAGAGUGACGCAGUGAUUCGUUUGUCAGUUGUUGUGGUGAGGGUUUUGAAGGUACUUGAAUUGCCGCAGCUGACUACAGUGACAUUAAGUUCUGACUGCCUC
rnacentral:lncRNA from 1 species